AGGUAAAUAGUUUAUUUAAAACACUUGAUUUCGGCUCAAGAGAUGCUGGUUAAACCCCACUAUUACCGU
rnacentral:tRNA from 1 species